CAGCGGAAGCCAGAGAACAAACAACCGCGGCGGGUCCCUGGGGUUCCCCUCAGCAAAGGGAUGCAAGAACGGCAGAUUUAGGAGGGCGCGGGAUGGAAGUGCUUUUGGAGGUCCUGUGGUGGGGCUGUCUGAGAAAGGCUGGAAGGCUGUAGAACCAAAUAGUCAGUGAUGACUAUGGACUUCAGAGUUGGACUGACCCAGUUCUCGCAUUGACCAGGCAAGCAACCACAACUCACCUUUGGAUGCUGCAGCAUGAAGUCCACGGCUUCUUCAAAAUACUCCAGGCACACAUCAUUCAAAUACUCAGGGAGGUCUUCAAAUCUGAAAUAAGCCAGAGCAAGCACAG